rnacentral:rRNA from 1 species
GAUUAACGCUGGCGGCGUGCAUAACACAUGCAAGUCGAACGAUGAAACUUUACUGACUUCUUCGGAAUGAUUUAAAGCGGAUUAGUGGCGAACGGGUGAGUAACACGUGAGUAACCUGCCUUACACAAGGGGAUAGCCUCUGGAAACGGAGAAUAAUACCCUAUGAAACCAGACAAUCGCAUGAUAAUCUGGUCAAAAUGUUUAGUGGUGUAAGAUGGACUUGCGUCUGAUUAGCUAGUUGGUGAGAUAAAAGCUCACCAAGGCAACGAUCAGUAGCCGGCUUGAGAGAGUGUACGGCCACAUUGGGACUGAGACACGGCCCAGACUCCUACGGGAGGCAGCAGUGGGGAAUUUUGCACAAUGGGGGAAACCCUGAUGCAGCGACGCCGCGUGAUUUAGAAGGCCUUCGGGUUGUAAAAAUCUUUUGUAUAGGAAGAAAAUGACAGUACUAUACGAAUAAGGUCCGGCUAAUUACGUG